AGCAGCCGCGGUAAUUCCAGCUCCAAUAGCGUAUAUUAAAGUUGUUGCAGUUAAAAAGCUCGUAGUUGAAUUUCGGGGUCAGUGAGUUGGUCGUGCCACUGGUAUGCACUGGCUUUACUGAUUCCUCCUUCUUGAAGAACUGUAAUGCUAUUAAUUUAGUGUUGCAGGGAAACAGGACUGUUACUUUGAAAAAAUUAGAGUGUUUAAAGCAAGCUAACGCUUGAAUACAUUAGCAUGGAAUAAUGAAAUAGGACGUUUGAUCCUAUUUUGUUGGUUUCUAGGAUUGACGUAAUGAUUAAUAGGGAUAGUUGGGGGCAUUAGUAUUCAAUUGUCAGAGGUGAAAUUCUUGGAUUUAUUGAAGACUGACUACUGCGAAAGCAUUUGCCAAGGAUGUUUUCAUUAAUCAAGAACGAAAGUUAGGGGAUCGAAGACGAUCAGAUACCGUCGUAG
rnacentral:rRNA from 1 species